rnacentral:rRNA from 1 species
UAGUCAUAUGCUUGUCUUAAAAACUAACCCAUGCAUGUCUCAUUAUAAGCUCUUGUACGGGGAGACUGCAAAUGGCUCAUUAAAACAGUUAUAAUUUCCUUGAUGAUCAAAUCACUAUGUGGACAACUGUGGUAAUUCUAAAGCUAAUACAUGCUUGCAAACCCAACCCCGGAAAGGGUUGUGCGUAUUAAAAACUGGACUAACCCGCUCCGGCGGCCGCACGUUGAUUCAUAAUACUCCAACAAAUCGCAUUGGCAAUAAAUCAUUCAAGUUUCUGACCUAUCACCUUUCAAUGGUAGGGUAUUGGCCUACCAUGGCUUUGACGGGAAACGAAAAAUUAGGGUUCAUUUCCGGAAAGGGAGCCCAAAAAACGGCUACCACAUCUAAGGAAGGCAGCAGGCGCGUAAAUUACCCAAUCCUGAUACAGGGAGGUAGUGACAAAAAAUACCAAUACAAACCAUCUUUGCUCUGUAAUUGAAAUGAGAACAAUCUAAACCUAUUAACAAGUAUCCAUUGA